AAAGCUUUUGCUAAUACCGCAUACGAUCUCAGGAUGAAAGCAGGGGACCGCAAGGCCUUGCGCUCACGGAGCGGCCGAUGGCAGAUUAGGUNGUUGGUGGGAUAAAAGCUUACCAAGCCGACGAUCUGUAGCUGGUCUGAGAGGACGACCAGCCACACUGGGACUGAGACACGGCCCAGACUCCUACGGGAGGCAGCAGUGGGGAAUUUUGGACAAUGGGCGCAAGCCUGAUCCAGCCAUGCCGCGUGCAGGAUGAAGGCCUUCGGGUUGUAAACUGCUUUUGUACGGAACGAAAAGACUCUGGUUAAUACCUGGGGUCCAUGACGGUACCGUAAGAAUAAGCACCGGCUAACUACGUGCCAGCAGCCGCGGUAAUACGUAGGGUGCGAGCGUUAAUCGGAAUUACUGGGCGUAAAGCGUGCGCAGGCGGUUAUGUAAGACAGAUGUGAAAUCCCCGGGCUCAACCUGGGAACUGCAUUUGUGACUGCAUAGCUGGAGUACGGCAGAGGGGGAUGGAAUUCCGCGUGUAGCAGUGAAAUGCGUAGAUAUGCGGAGGAACACCGAUGGCGAAGGCAAUC
rnacentral:rRNA from 1 species